AAAAUUGACAGAUAAACAAAACCUUGGAAAAUCGAAAUCAUAUUUCUAAAAUAUCCAAUAUAUCAAUAAAACUGGACCUAUUAAAAAGGUUGAGAGGUUUGCUAACAUCUACAAGUUAUAAACAAGAAGAAAUAAAUCCAAUCUGCUUGUGAAAAUAUCAGAAAAUGGUAAUUUUAAAAAGAUCUAAUGAUAUAUCCAACAGCUUAAUAUAUCCAAAAACUGUAAGGCUACACCGAAGAAAUUUUACUCGUACAAUUCAAAAUAUCAACUCGAAGAGACUAUAUGACAACUUAAAUUAGCAAUUACAAUUUUAUUGAGAACUAGAUAAUUAUUGUUAGACUAAGUUAAUGUCAAAAUGAAGAAAAUAAUCUAAGGAUAAAAUGAACCCGUAACAGUUGUGAGGGGGAGCUCAUCUUGCUGAAAUUAUAUUUCACGUACAUUAGCUAAACGAAUAUCUGAAAGUUCCUGUACGAUAGCUUCCAAGAUUUACAAAUAUAUUUGUAAGAGUUAAGUUUCCCUAAUAUAUAAAGAAUUUAUUAGUGAUUAUUGGUAAUUUAUUAGUGAAUAUUGCAGUAAAAAGUGAAAAUAAAUAUAGAGUGAUAUGCAAGCCAUAUACAGGGUGCAUUCUAUUUAAGAAAACAUAACUU